GCGCGGCGGCGCGGAGAGCGGGGCGUGCGGAUAAGAUGCCUCAGGUAAACUCCUCCCUCUUCUGUGGCUCAAAACAGAUCUGCCACCAAAGAUGGAGGCUUGCUGCUACUUCACGAGGAUUCGAAUCGUGUACUUGAAGGCUUACAAAAGAAAGAUUGCCUGGCACUGGAAGAUGAAGCAUUAAGCUGUCCAAGGCUGCUCUGGACAGAAAGCUGUGGGAUGUCUAUGUCUAGUGCAAGAAACUGUUUCAACUGUUGUUGAUGAAGAAAAGGCAUUUCUAACUGCAGGCUUUCAAAGUGCUUCUAAUCAUGACGGCCAGUGUUGUGGAGCUGUUAAGCAAUGCAGAUGGUAGCAUACCAGCAAAUAUUUGAUAAUGGAACUGCCAGACACUUCAUAGCAGUCUGCUUGUACAUGGGUGGUGCCCAUGGGGAAUUGGUGUUAAGCAAGACUAGCUUCUGCCUGAGGAAAGGACUGUUCUGUCUGCAACUUUAUUAGGUUGGGAGGCAGCUUUGAAACUGCUAUGAGGAACAAAAAAGGUGGAAGAUUGCAGACCAAGGGUUUACACUUCAUGAACAGCUGUAAAAUGCCGUGGCUUUGUGGUGAUAAUAUCUGAUACUGAUUAGAGCCAAUAAAAUCUUGUAAACUCUU